GAUGAACGCUGGCGGCGUGCCUAACACAUGCAAGUCGAGCGCGAUUAAGCGGAGUGAGGACUUCGGUCCAAGUGAAGCUUAUGAAAGCGGCGGACGGGUGAGUAACGCGUGGGCAACCUGCCCCAUACAGAGGGAUAGCCACUGGAAACGGUGAUUAAUACCUCAUAAGUCAGUAGCAUCGCAUGAUGUAGCUGACAAAGCUUUAUCGGUAUGGGAUGGGCCCGCGUCUGAUUAGCUAGUUGGUGAGGUAACGGCUCACCAAGGCGACGAUCAGUAGCCGACCUGAGAGGGUGAUCGGCCACACUGGAACUGAGACACGGUCCAGACUCCUACGGGAGGCAGCAGUGGGGAAUAUUGCACAAUGGGCGCAAGCCUGAUGCAGCAACGCCGCGUGAGUGAUGAAGGCCUUCGGGUUGUAAAACUCUGUCCUAUGGGAAGAAUCAAAUGACGGUACCAUAGGAGGAAGCCCCGGCUAACUACGUGCCAGCCGCCGCGGUAAGAC
rnacentral:rRNA from 1 species